rnacentral:rRNA from 1 species
UACGUAGGGUGCAAGCGUUGUCCGGAAUUAUUGGGCGUAAAGAGCUCGUAGGCGGUUUGUCACGUCUGCUGUGAAAACUCGGGGCUUAACUCCGGGCCUGCAGUGGGUACGGGCAGACUAGAGUGUGGUAGGGGAGACUGGAAUUCCUGGUGUAGCGGUGAAAUGCGCAGAUAUCAGGAGGAACACCGAUGGCGAAGGCAGGUCUCUGGGCCACUACUGACGCUGAGAAGCGAAAGCAUGGGGAGCGAACAGG